rnacentral:lncRNA from 1 species
GAAGAAGAGAAAGAAGAAGAAGAAGAAGAAGAAGAGAAAGAAGAAGAAAAAGAGAAGAAGAGGGAGGAAGCUCCGUUGGCUUCAAUGGUGGAUGGUGGAGGCUCGACCGAGGGUGGUGACGACGUCUGGAUGUGCGGUCGUCAACGACGAGCACGCUAGGGGCGACGACAGCAGUGAACGGCCAUGACAGGCGAUGGAAAAUGGCAA